rnacentral:rRNA from 1 species
UACGAAGGGCCCAAGCGUUAUCCGGAUUUAUUGGGUUUAAAGGGUGCGUAGGCGGGCUAUUAAGUCAGUGGUGAAAUCUCCGAGCCUAACUCGGAAAUUGCCAUUGAUACUGAUGGUCUUGAGUACAUUUGAAGUGGGCGGAAUGUGUCAUGUAGCGGUGAAAUGCUUAGAUAUGACACAGAACACCGAUUGCGUAGGCAGCUCACUAAACUGUAACUGACGCUGAGGCACGAAAGCGUGGGGAGCAAACAGG